rnacentral:tRNA from 1 species
GGAGUUGUGGCUCAGUGGUAGAGCACUUGCUUAGCAUGUGCAAGGUCCUGGGUUCAAUCCUCAGCACCA